UACGGAGGGUGCAAGCGUUGUCCGGAAUCACUGGGCGUAAAGGGCGCGUAGGCGGCCUGAUAAGUAGGGGGUGAAAUCUUGCGGCUUAACCGCAAGGCUGCCUUCUAAACUGUCGGGCUAGAGCACAGUAGAGGCAGGUGGAAUUCCCGGUGUAGCGGUGGAAUGCGUAGAGAUCGGGAAGAACAUCAGUGGCGAAGGCGGCCUGCUGGGCUGUUGCUGACGCUGAGGCGCGACAGCGUGGGGAGCAAACAGG
rnacentral:rRNA from 1 species